rnacentral:rRNA from 1 species
AUUGAACGCUGGCGGCAGGCUUAACACUUGCAAGUCGAGCGGGCGAGGUUGCUUCGGUAACUGAGCUAGCGGCGGACGGGUGAGUAAAGCUUAGGAAUCUGCCUAUUAGUGGGGGACAACAUUCCGAAAGGGAUGCUAAUACCGCAUACGUCCUACGGGAGAAAGCAGGGGAUCACUUGUGACCUUGCGCUAAUAGAUGAGCCUAAGUCGAAUUAGCUCGUUGGUGGGGUAAAGGCCUACCAAGGCGACGAUCUGUAGCGGGUCUGAGAGGAUGAUCGGCCACACUGGGACUGAGACACGGCCCAGACUCCCACGGGAGGCAGCAGUGGGGAAUAUUGGACAAUGGGGGGAACCCUGAUCCAGCCAUGCCGCGUGUGUGAAGAAGGCCUUUUGGUUGUAAAGCACUUUAAGCGAGGAGGAGGCUUACCUGGUUAAUACCUGGGAUAAGUGGACGUUACUCGCAGAAUAAGCACCGGCUAACUCUGUGCCAGCAGCCGCCGUAAUAC